rnacentral:rRNA from 1 species
UACGAAGGGGGCUAGCGUUGUUCGGAAUUACUGGGCGUAAAGCGUGCGCAGGCGGCUUCUCAAGUCAGGGGUGAAAGCCCAGAGCUCAACUCUGGAAUUGCCUUUGAGACUGAGAGGCUUGAGUACGGGAGAGGUGAGUGGAAUUCCCAGUGUAGAGGUGAAAUUCGUAGAUAUUGGGAAGAACACCGAUGGCGAAGGCGGCUCACUGGCCCGAAACUGACGCUCAUGCACGACAGCGUGGGGAUCAAACAGG